rnacentral:rRNA from 1 species
UCGGGAAUUUUGGGCAAUGGGCGAAAGCCUGACCCAGCAACGCCGCGUGAAGGAUGAAGUAUUUCGGUAUGUAAACUUCGAAAGAAUAGGAAGAAUAAAUGACGGUACUAUUUAUAAGGUCCGGCUAACUACGUGCCAGCAGCCGCGGUAAUACGUAGGGACCAAGCGUUGUUCGGAAUUACUGGGCGUAAAGCGCGUGUAGGCGGCUCUUCAAGUCAGACGUGAAAGCCCCAGGCUCAACCUGGGAACUGCGUUUGAUACUGUCGAGCUAGAGUGUGGAAGGGGCAAUCGGAAUUCUUGGUGUAGCGGUGAAAUGCGUAGAUAUCAAGAGGAACACCUGAGGUGAAGACGGGUUGCUGGGCUGACACUGACGCUGAGGCGCGAAAGCCAGGGGAGCAAACGGGAUUAGAUACCCAUGUAGUCCCUGAG